rnacentral:rRNA from 1 species
GUGUCAGCAGCCGCGGUAAGACGGAGGAUGCAAGUGUUAUCCGGAAUCACUGGGCGUAAAGCGUCUGUAGGUUGUUCAAUAAGUCAACUGUUAAAUCUUGAGGCUCAACUUCAAAAUCGCAGUCGAAACUGUUAGACUAGAGUAUAGUAGGGGUAAAGGGAAUUUCCAGUGGAGCGGUGAAAUGCGUAGAUAUUGGAAAGAACACCAAUGGCGAAAGCACUUUACUGGGCUAUUACUGACACUGAGAGACGAAAGCUAAGGUAGCAAAUGGGAUUAGAUACCCCAGUAGUCC